rnacentral:rRNA from 1 species
GGAUGCGAUCAUACCAGCACUAAAGCACCGGAUCCCAUUAGAACUCCGAAGUUAAACGUGCUUGGGCGAGAGUAGUACUAGGAUGGGUGACCUCCUCGGAAGUCCUCGUGUUGCAUUCC